rnacentral:rRNA from 1 species
UAAUACGGAGGGUGCAAGCGUUAAUCGGAAUUACUGGGCGUAAAGCGUGCGUAGGUGGUAUGUUAAGUUAGAUGUGAAAGCCCUGGGCUCAACCUAGGAACUGCAUUCAAAACUGGCAAACUAGAGUAUAGGAGAGGAAAGUGGAAUUUCAGGUGUAGCGGUGAAAUGCGUAGAUAUCUGAAGGAACAUCAAUGGCGAAGGCAGCUUUCUGGACUAAUACUGACACUGAGGUACGAAAGCGUGGGUAGCAAACAGGAUUAGAUACCCUGGUAGUCCACGCCGUAAACGAUGACAACUAGCCAUUGGGAGGAUUUACCUCUUAGUGGCGAAGCUAACGCGUUAAGUUGUCCGCCUGGGGAGUACGGCCGCAAGGUUA